rnacentral:SRP_RNA from 1 species
UGGCGGACUUGGUUGGGGGGUUAGCCCUCCCCUGUCACCGUGAACGGGCUUUACACGGGACGACGUCUGAAGAGCAGCGCACAACGGAUGUGAAUGUCAUAUAUCUAACGACGACGUUCUGUCCGGUAGGAUUGUGGCUCGCUUGAACCGCGCCAGGCCAGGAAUGGAGCAACGCUAAAGGCAGUUCUCAAUGCUUAUCGGGUAGCGGAACCGAGAAGGGUAUAUGGCCUCUUUGCAUUCGCUUAUGCGUUCACCUUUAGGCACGUCCGCCU